rnacentral:rRNA from 1 species
GUCGAACGGUAAGGCCCCAGCUUGCUGGGGUACACGAGUGGCGAACGGGUGAGUAACACGUGGGUGACCUGCCCCGCACUUCGGGAUAAGCCUGGGAAACUGGGUCUAAUACCGGAUAGGACCGCACCGUGAGGGUGUGGUGGAAAGUUUUUCGGUGUGGGAUGGGCCCGCGGCCUAUCAGCUUGUUGGUGGGGUAAUGGCCUACCAAGGCGGCGACGGGUAGCCGGCCUGAGAGGGUGGACGGCCACAUUGGGACUGAGACACGGCCCAGACUCCUACGGGAGGCAGCAGUGGGGAAUAUUGCACAAUGGGCGGAAGCCUGAUGCAGCGACGCCGCGUGGGGGAUGACGGCCUUCGGGUUGUAAACUCCUUUCACCAUCGACGAAGGUUUUCUGACGGUAGAUGGAGAAGAAGCACCGGCUAACUACGUGCCAGCAGCCGCGGUAAUACGUAGGGUGCGAGCGUUGUCCGGAAUUACUGGGCGUAAAGAGCUCGUAGGUGGUUUGUCGCGUCGUCUGUGAAAUUCCGGGGCUUAACUCCGGGCGUGCAGGCGAUACGGGCAUAACUUGAGUACUGUAGGGGAGACUGGAAUUCCUGGUGUAGCGGUGAAAUGCGCAGAUAUCAGG